CCGGGCAUAGCUCAGUGGAUAGAAGCAACAGUCUUCUAAACUGUAGGUCGAAGGUUCGAAUCCUUCUGCCCGGGCCA
rnacentral:tRNA from 1 species